UCCAGAUCAGUGUAUGAAUUUCUAAACCCAGCCCCCUUUUUCUUUUUCGCUCUUCGAUGUUUUUUGCUAGUUGCUUUUAUUCUAUGGAUUUGUGCGCUAGAGCCCGGCCUCACAUAUAAGGAGAAUGAGUUAUGGGUGAGUCUCAAUUUCCUGCUCUUCUUCCACCAUGACCGAUAAAGUUGAAUCGUUCGACCCGUAAUCCCUCAGAUCCAAUUCCUCUUCUUUUCGAUUUUGACCUAACUUUUUUGGUUUUCUGCAAUCUUUAGGGGCGACACAAUCGUCAUCAAGGUGUGAUUUUGAUGUGGGUUUUGUUGGUUUAUUCAGAAUAUUGUUGAAGAAAAUUGAUGGAAUUUUGCUUAAUUAGGUUUUGGGUAGUGAGUGAAGGAUGGAUUUGUAGUUGGGUUGAUGGGUUUUGUGUGUUUUGUUUGAGAUCUGGUGACUGGGUGUGUUUUGGUGUCCGAAAGUUGAGGUUUUGAUGUAAAGUUUUAUGCUUUUCUGCUGGCUCUGAACCCUUAUACUCUUUUUUAGUUGUCUUAAUCACCUUGUUUAAGUUGCACUCGUGUGGUUCCUAAUUCUGACAUUACAAUGUUGUUUUGAAUUGGUUCGACCCCGAAACCGAUUGUGGUUUCUCCAACGACCGAGCUUCUUCGAGGACGAUCGAACUCAGAAUCGAGGAUGGGGCACAACUGAAGCGCUAUUUGAUCCCCAAAUCUAGAGUGAAAUCUGAGAGAAGCAAAACGAAAAGCGAAAUCAAAACCAGAGCAAGGUAAAGGUCUGAUGCAAUUUGAUUUGAUUAUUAUGGUGUUGAUUAUUGGUGAAUUCAGUAUAAUGUGCGUACAUAAUGUGCUAGUUGCAAUUUGAAGUAUUAUUGGAAAGCUGGACGUAGUACUAUGGGAUUGUUGUGGUUUUGUUUUUGGGUUGAGCUAAAUGGGAAAGAAGAAAGGAUGUUGCUUUUAAUUUUCUUGUGUCAAUUUCAAAACAAGUGAUUCAAAACAGAGUUUUUACUUUGGUCCUUUUGAAGACGUAACUCAAAAUAAGUUGAAUCAAUGGCCUCCAGAAGGUAUAGAACAACUUUUUCAAAUGUUAAUUACGAUACAAGGAAGACAUGAUAUAUUUCUGAUACAGAGUGGCAUUGUGUCACCUUGAUGACGAUUUACUUCCUAGCUUUCUAUACAUAGGUGGUAAAAAUUGUUGUUCACCAUUGAUAAUUUAUAGUUGUUUACAGUUCCGCCAGGAAAAGAUUAGUAUCUCUGAUUGCCCUGGCUUUGAACCUGGAUGAGAAUUUUUUUGAGAAAGUUGGGGAUCUGAAUGGCCACUUUUGCAAUUCUUCACCUUUUGCACCAUCCAGAAUUGGUGAAUUCCGGUGCUGGAUAGUUGGGGAUUUAAUGACCAUUUCUAUUGGUGAUGCGGAAUUGAUGGCAAGCCCAGUCAUGUUCUAUGCAGAUUUUCCAGAAAGCAAUAUCAACUUCAAAUGCUUACAAUGAUCAAUUCAGGACCAUAAGCCACAAGAGAGUUAAGCUUGCCAACCUUGGUCGCCGUGGAUUAAAGAAAAAAUUAAAGGAAGACAAUUAAGGACCCCCUUAAGUCUUUCAGUGCUCAGCUUAUUUCCUGGAGGCCUACACCCUAGUGAGGAAGGGUGAUCUCUGGAUUGUGAGAGGAGGAAUGAGGAGUGUCGAGUUCAAGGUUAUUGAGACUGAUCCUUCUUGAGUAUUGUGUUGUUGCUCCAAACACUAAAAUAUUUCCAAUAGGGUUUACUAAAGUGGCUACAGAUAAGAAUUCUAAAGCUGGAUCAAAUGUCUAGGCUAGCCUUUAUAG